ACUGUUGAAGAUAAGCCCUCACCCUCGGCUGAAUCGAUUCUGGAAUUUGUUCAUCAAUCAAGAGCACAAUGAAAAGGUUAGGCUGAAUCGUGGUUAUAAUUAGAUUUGUGAUGUUAUGUGGAUUGUGAGUCAGCAUCAUCUACUUAGAAAUGUUGAUUGAUCUGAAGUUAGUGUUUGUUCCAUCAUCCAUGAGAGGGAAAUCUGUAGGCGAUAAAUUCCUUUACACUCAAAAGGAGGAGACUGCCAUCCUAGAGAACAAGUUGAGUCGGGAAAUAGACUAUACACUUACAAAAUUGAGAUGAUUUCUGAAUAAUAAAAUUCAAAUUAUUUGAAAUUCUUGUGAACCCAUCAAAGCCAUCUGGAGCUAUUGGUUCUGCCAAGGAAUCUGAAAUGGGAAGAUUUGAUCAAUAUUUAUGAGUUUGAAUUAGGCAUUUAACCCUUUACCAUUGAUGUGGAAGUUGAUAUGUUUGGAUGUUAGAAUUAGGGCUGGUUAAACGGUUCCGGUUAUCCGGUUAAAACCGUAACCGAACCGAAAAAACCGGUUAUCGGUUAACCGAUAACCAAUUUUUUAUCGGUUCGGUUCGGUUACCGAUUAGUGUCUCCAUCGUUAACCGGUUAAUCGGUUUAACCGGUCGGUUAACCGGUUAAACCGAUUAACCGAUUUUUUUUAUUAAAUUAAUUAAUUAAUUAUAAUAUUAGAGAAUAUAAUAGAACUAGGGCUGGGGGGGGGGAGAGUACGCUCAAAAUUCUGAUUUCUGAAAUCUCAACCCCGUUCCCACCCGUCUGGCCGUUUCUCUGCCGUCUCAAAUCUCAGCCUCUCCGGCCCCCACCGGCGCCGCGCCGCGCCGCCGCAGCCGCAGCCUCCCAGAGCCCAGGCCGCAAGCUCGCAAGUCGCAGCCGUCUCCGUUCAGCCCAAGCCGCAUUUUCGCAGCUCCUCCCAGGCUCCCAGUCGUCUCCGGCGGCCUCGACUUCGCAGGCUCUUGAAAGACAAUUGGUAGAAGUUGCAGCACACGUCAGCAGCACUGAGCACAAAUUCAGACAAUUUGUUGAUGAAUUUGUGAUGAAUUAUAAAGAAUUUGUGUUGGAAUUUUAUUAUAAAGAAGGAGUUUGAAUCGGUUUUGACACAACUUGGGAUGAGUGGAGGACAUGGAGUUCGUGGAGAAAGUAGUGGAGAUGUUUCUAAUCAGACAAGCCGAAGUGUCUUACCGUGAAUCCAUUUCUUUGUUGUUGGUGUUGACUGUUGAACUUUAGACUUGUGUUACUUUAUAUUAUGUUAUGUUUGUUGCUUUGUUGGU